rnacentral:tRNA from 1 species
GGGCCCAUAGCUCAGCUGGUUAGAGCACCUGACUCAUAAUCAGGGGGUCCAUGGUUCGAGCCCAUGAGGGACCA